rnacentral:misc_RNA from 1 species
GACGGAGGGGGCAAGCGUUGCUCGGAAUGACUGGGCGUAAAGGGUGCGUAGGCGGUUUCUUAAGUGAGGUGUUAAAACUUCGGGCUCAACCUGAAAGAUGCAUUUCAUACUGAGAAGCUUGAGUGUGAAAGAGGAAACGGGAAUUCCUCAUGUAGAGGUGAAAUUCGUAGAUAUGAGGAGGAACACCAGAGGCGAAGGCGAGUUUCUGGAUCACAACUGACGCUGAGGCACUAAAGCGUGGGGAGCAAACAGG